AACACUUAGGCCCGGUCUUUUCACCUCCGAAUAAAUAUGCUCUUAUCUGGCAGUUAGCUAUCUGGAGGAUAAAUAUUUAUUCGCUAGAUAAAAUGUACCCGUCUUUUCACGUCAAUUUAUGUUCCAGUUAGUUAUCCGGUAGAUAAGCUUAAAAGUAAGUUUGGAUUCCGAACACACCUGACUUUUAUGUUUAUUUUUAUAAUUUCAGCUUUAACUUAACCUAACAUAAUUAGAUUCAAAGAUGAUUUUAUCGAUUUUAUUUCCAUUUUGGAAGAAGGAAAUGUAAUCACAGAAUUACAACUUAAUAGGUUUAGUCACAACUUAACUUAGUUUAGUUACAACUUAAUCAUAAGGUUUGGAAAUACAUUUCCAUAUUUUAAUCAGACAACAAUAUUGUUUUAGAAAGAAAACAUUGAUUAUGCUGAAAUAGUUUACUGGAGAGCUUGAACAAGAGUUACAGAUAUGACAAACACCUAGAAGAUGGAAUCCUGUGUUCUCAUAGAAAAAGCUAGUUCCAGAAAUAAGCUACCAAUAAUAAACUAGAGAAUGUAUUACAAGAAAGAACAACGCUAAUACUCAACAUAGCUCAAUUGCUUCAGAUAGAAAAAGAGGAGGAAAGGGUAGAACACAAGCGUGCCAGAGAAAAUGAAAGGGCAGAAGAGACAAAAAUUCAUUGAUUUAUUAAAUUUAAUAAUUAAAUUAUACAAAGGACAAUUAAAUAAAGAAUAAAAAAAUUA